rnacentral:rRNA from 1 species
UCCAGACUCCUACGGGAGGCAGCAGUGAGGAAUAUUGGUCAAUGGGCGAGAGCCUGAACCAGCCAAGUCGCGUGAGGGAGUACUGCCCUAUGGGUUGUAAACCUCUUUUGUCGGGGAGCAAAAGCCGGACGUGUCCGGCUGUGAGAGUACCCGAAGAAAAAGCAUCGGCUAACUCCGUGCCAGCAGCCGCGGUAAUACGGAGGAUGCGAGCGUUAUCCGGAUUUAUUGGGUUUAAAGGGUGCGUAGGCGGGAGAUCAAGUCAGCGGUAAAAAUGCGGGUCCCAACCCCGUCGAGCCGUUGAAACUGGUUUUCUUGAGUGGGCGAGAGGUAUGCGGAAUGCGUGGUGUAGCGGUGAAAUGCAUAGAUAUCACGCAGAACCCCGAUUGCGAAGGCAGCAUACCGGCGCCCAACUGACGCUGAGGCACGAAAGCGUGGGUAUCGAACAGGAUUAGAUACCCUAGUAA